UAUCUGUCCCUCUUCCAGUCUUAACAUCUCCAGGAGGCAGGUGCUUGGGUUCCAGGCUCUGUGAGAUGCUGUAGUGAACACGAAAGAGUCAUAUUUGCAUAAGUAAAACUCAUAAGGCCUGCAAAUCAAAACAUAUACUGCACACAUCUUGCCUGCUCUCCUAAGCAGGGCACAUGAACCAACUGGGCAAGGUUAGCAGGCCUCUGAGAAAAGUGCUGGAGAAAUGAAUCUAGGAACACAUUUCCCUAUCAGUAAAAUGGAGAUGGUGGUAAUGGCACCUACUGAUGAUUACCAGUGGCUGAAGUGAAAAAAAUGCAUGCUGAGUAUUAAGGUCCAUGGCACUCCAAAAAUGUUCCGUAUCAUUCCCGUGGCAUCUUAUUUCUCAGGUUGUUGCCAAUUCAGUCAUCUAGAAGCCAUAUACAUAGAGAAAUUGUAAGUUCAACAACAUCUCAUUAGAACAAAGCAAGAUUUUCAAGACUUCUAUUUUUCAUGACACAAAAAGAGCAAUAAUGUGUGGGUGGCUUAUCUGGCCAUUCACAUAAUGAAUAUGAUUCCUUCUUGUCAAAAUGACCUUAAACUGUAAUGCUGGUGUGGUUGGCGUUGUGUUUUCAGGAUGAUUAUCAACAAAAUGACAGAUUAUACUUCUGUUUGGUUCAUUUCUCCAAGGGAAUGAAGGCUAAGGAAUCUGAAGAACAAUGGACAAAUGAGACAUCUGAAGAAAAAGGACAAAUCAUCCAGAAAAAAAUGUCCCAAGAUAAAGAGUAAAAUGGCCUAUUGUUAUAUCACAUUUUAUAAUUCUUCCUAAGUGUUUCUUUCUGCUGUUCUCUACAGACACUUAACACAAAUGGUCUUUAUGUAGUCCCAGUUCAAUUAAAAAUUAAAGCUGGCUUUGGAGUUGGA